AUAAAUUUUGCCGUGGUAAGCGGGUGCCCUUGUAAUGUUAAGAGCGGAGAGUCUGGCAGGUGAGUGCGAAAAGUUGACCGUAGUUGGUCGAGAACUUUCACCGGACACCAGGCAUUAUCAGUAGGGAAGAGAGGAAUUAUUGUAGGAUGUAUUGACCGGUUGGUUUUAGUGGUAGGGAUAGAAAGGAGGUAGUGAUCCUCUACCUUGGU
rnacentral:lncRNA from 1 species